rnacentral:lncRNA from 1 species
UUUUUCAGUUCCAGAGAAGCAGCUGUUAGGUGUACAUUUGAUGCUAGAGUAGCUGGCUGCACUGACAAGCCACUGGAAUUCCAAGCUUUAGCUCAGCAAACAAGGAUACAGUAUCUGAGCUGGCGGCCAGGAAAUUCCCAGGAAAGUUCUUGUGUCCCAGCUGCCCUUCUGAAGGUUUGGCGAGUUGGAGAUGACUGGCAAUAAUCCUGCCCAGCAGAGCCCAGCUGUGUUGGGGAUGUAGAUAGACUGCAGAUGGAGAGAUUCAGGCUGCAAGAGCUGAGGCUCCAAGACCUCACUGCUGGAGGUCAGAGAGAGGGGGGCGUUGACCCCUGCCAGCUACUAAGGAGUGUGGGCACUGAGAAUUGGAUUCAAGCUCCCUGUGCAUGUAUCACAGAAAAAGAGGGAAGUUAUGGGUUUUUCCAAGUUGUUCAAAUUGCCUUUAUUUCUAUAGGCAAGAGAGAGGAGAGGAAGAAUGGCUGGGCGAUGGCAAAACUGAGUAGCUUGUCUUCGCUUCUUCACCCAGUCAUUGAAGAGGAGAUCAUUUCAUUGGGAUCAUGUAGGAUAAUGUAGCUAACUUCUUAGAGGUUCUGUAGUCCACAAAUUUAGAAUUCUAAAAUAAUCAAAGGAAAUAAUUUAAACAAAUAGAUCGAGUGAACACACACUAUACUGAUAUGUAUACUUUAUUUUUCCUCUCUAGAAAUCAUGCUUUUACCUGGGCUACAGUUGAGAGCAAGGUAUCAUAAUGAAAUAAAAACAAUAUU